UACGUAGGGGGCAAGCGUUGUCCGGAAUUAUUGGGCGUAAAGAGCGUGUAGGCGGUCCGGUAAGUCAGCUGUGAAAGUCAAGGGCUCAACCCUUGAAUGCCGGUUGAUACUGUCGGGCUAGAGUCCGGAAGAGGCGAGUGGAAUUCCCGGUGUAGCGGUGAAAUGCGCAGAUAUCGGGAGGAACACCAAUGGCGAAGGCAGCUCGCUGGGACGGUACUGACGCUGAGACACGAAAGCCAGGGGAGCAAACGGG
rnacentral:rRNA from 1 species